AGUGAACGCUGGCGGUAGGCCUAACACAUGCAAGUCGAACGGCAGCACAGUAAGAGCUUGCUCUUACGGGUGGCGAGUGGCGGACGGGUGAGGAAUACAUCGGAAUCUACUUUUUCGUGGGGGGUAACGUAGGGAAACUUACGCUAAUACCGCAUACGACCUACGGGUGAAGGCAGGUGAUCUUCGGACCUUGCGCGAUUGAAUGAGCCGAUGUCGGAUUAGCUAGUUGGCGGGGUAAAGGCCCACCAAGGCGACGAUCCGUAGCUGGUCUGAGAGGAUGAUCAGCCACACUGGAACUGAGACACGGUCCAGACUCCUACGGGAGGCAGCAGUGGGGAAUAUUGGACAAUGGGCGCAAGCCUGAUCCAGCCAUACCGCGUGGGUGAAGAAGGCCUUCGGGUUGUAAAGCCCUUUUGUUGGGAAAGAAAAGCAGCAGGUUAAUACCCCGCUGUUCUGACGGUACCCAAAGAAUAAGCACCGGCUAACUUCGUG
rnacentral:rRNA from 1 species